ensembl:lncRNA uncharacterized LOC107666850
CGCUUGCAAGGGUGUUUUCUGGAAUAAGGGCCGGUGGGAUGAGUGAGUUCUGCUCGGGACCGAGCCAACCUGGUUUUCUGCUUGUUUAGCCACCGCCUCCCCUCGUGACAUCAACACUGCGGAGAGCCGCCGCGCGCUCAGACUCUGCUGCAGAACGCCAGUGCGCAAAGGUAAGCGAGCACUCCUCAGCACGCAACAACACGUUAGCACACUUAAAAGACGGAUCGUGUGGUAUUGAUGAGUGAUUGGUGAUCUAUCAGCAUGUCGCUGUACGCGUCUCAGAUUAAAGCGUUUAAGAGCGCAGAGCCCAAGACACUUGGCGCUAUUGAGAUCAUAAUGGGAGUGUUUACUGUCAUUUUGAGCUCAAUUGUUUAUAAGCUGCACUACCAUAUCCAGCGUGAAAUCAUCAUCCUCAUCGUCAACGGUGCUCAGCUUGUCAUAACUGGUGUUGUCCUGGUGCACACUGGGAGGAAGCCAUCUAAAUGUCUGGUGCUGACAACCAUUGUUCUGCAAUUACUAACCGCAGCAUUUGAUAUUGUUGGAUUUGGGCUCAUGGCCAGACACAUCCCAUUCAGAGGAGAGUCGUACUACUACAGGGACACAGAGUUCUUAGUGAAUGGGAUCUUGUUGACACUGAUCGGUUUCCUGGUGCUAGCAUGUGUCAUUGGUUUGGUUGUGUCUCUUUUUGGGGUCUACACCCUUUCUGUUAGUGCCAUAAAGGAGGUGACGCCCAUCCCUCACUCUACCGCAAACCAACAUUAUGGUGCUGGCGUUCAGACCCAGAACAAGAUCCAUGCCGGAAACUGACAAAAUAAGAGCCGUUCAGAGCAGAAGGGCACAGUUUUAGCACAGUUUUACACCAACUGCAAAAGAGGACUGUUUCACCUACAAACCACUCACAGGUAAACAACCACAACUACAGACAAAAAAAAAAAAGUUUGUGAAGUUGUAAAUAAUUUUUUGAAAAUAAAAUGGAUAAAAUCUCGUUUUUUGCUUGGCUGUUGCUCUCACAGGCGUUAGGACUGCUGUAAUUUCGAAUGCUCAACUUAAUAGUUAUUCGUACCUCAUUAAUUUUUGCUCUUACAAACUGAAGCUUCUUAGCAUGAAAUGUCUACCCAGAAAUCUAGACCAGAAUCCAGUGUUAUCGAUGUAUGUUAGAGGGGUAAGUGUGCUUAUCGUUCUUAGGAUAUGUGAAAUUAGGUACAUAGCAGAAACAGAAAUGAAAUUAUGGUGAAUGUGAAUGGUAAGAAGGUUCUGUGAUUCCGUCUUGUUUCGUAGCAUUUUGUACCACCUUUUGCAUGGAUCUUUAUAUCGGUCAACAUGUUUGUUUUAGCCACAUGAGGACAUAUGGGGCUACAUUUAUCAAGUUGAUAUUUGUUAAUUGCAAUUUGAAAAUAAAAGCUCUUGAAACCAUAAAAAUGUAACAACACUGUAAGCAAGCCAAAUGAUUUUAUAUAUAUGCUUACAAAAAAAAAUCCUUCAAAAUAAAAGCCUUGAUAAAUGUGGCCCAUGUUCAGUGAAACUCCUCUAAAGCAGAGUAAUGGGAAUUUGAACACCAGUGAAUAGCUAAACAGCAUCGCUUGGCUUUUUUGUCAUCUCGUUUUAUCCGUACUGAUUCUUCAGGAAAGCUAUGAUGACUGCCAACUCUGUAAGUGCCACCACUUUUGACCAAAAUCAUGGACACCCUAAUGACUAAAGGUCAGAGGUUGAACCCUCAGUCAAGGGCUCGACUUUGGUGAUGUAAAAUCCUUUUGUGAUAGCAUGCGUCGUCCGUUCUGUGUCUGUAGAUCUUUGUCUUUAUGACAGCAUGUGAGAUUUACAUUGUGCCUGUUCUCAGCUAACUCUUUACAUGUAGUAAAUGAAAACGUAGUAUGUAGUAAUAUGGCUGUGUUUGUGUUUGUAUUUGACUGAAUGAUAUUUCAAAUAAACUUGAUUUACUACACAAUCUGAU